UCAGGCCGAUAAAUUUAACACUGGCUACAAAUGAAGAAGCUGAGUUAAUCAAAAGACCGCUCCUUAAUAACAAAGCAUAGCCCUAGAAAUCUGAAAAAAAUAUGUGGAAACCUAUGUUCAUAAAUUUAGUCUCAAUAUAAUGGAAAAGUUAACUCAAGGCCACUUCCUGCAUAUCUCUAGCAUGGCUUCGCUUCUCCCUUCAGGCUAGCAAGGCUUAAUUUCCCUUUUGAACGACAGAGAAUGGAUACUACUGAAUCCUGUGUGGAAGGAAAAGAACUAUGCCUUGAAAACUAGAGCUCUUUAAAAUCCCACUUAAUCAGAACAGGGAUUAGGAAAGUCCCAGUUUUCACUGAAUUAAAGUAUCGUCUCUCUGUGUUACAGGUAUAAGAGGCUUCUCCAUCCUCUUGGUGAUAGCCAUAGAAGCAGGCGCACACCCUCUCUGGAGAAGGCCCGGUGCAGAUAUUUCUUAUUUGCUUAAAGCAAUCCUUUUCCUGUACUUAUAUUAAAUCAGACAUGUUGCAAGCAAGGAACGACCAACUCUGUGAAAGGAAAAGCACAGUUCAUAUGAAACAUUUCUUGUGUGAAUGUGCCUUCACAUAGCACUGCAGAGCAGAGACAGAACAACCUCAUGAACUUGUCUUUACUCUCAGAGAUUGUUCACUCUAGGGUGCUGCAAAGAGCUGGAAGAAAUGAGCUUUGUUAAGCUCAGAAUCGGGUGUUAUUUUUUACUUUUGUUGGACAUGUACAACCAGAUACUCUACAGUUUUACACAGAAGCAAGUCCACUUGACUUCUUGA